GGGGGUGUAGUUCAGUGGUAGAGUAUACACUUUGCAUUCAGAGGAACCCAGGUUAAACUCCUGGCUUCUCCA